rnacentral:rRNA from 1 species
UACAGAGGGUGCAAGCGUUGUCCGGAAUCACUGGGCGUAAAGGGCGCGUAGGCGGCCUGAUAAGUAGGGGGUGAAACGCUACGGCUCAACCGUAGCACUGCCUUCUAAACUGUCAGGCUGGAGCACAGUAGAGGCAGGUGGAAUUCCCGGUGUAGCGGUGGAAUGCGUAGAGAUCGGGAAGAACAUCGGUGGCGAAGGCGGCCUGCUGGGCUGUUGCUGACGCUGAGGCGCGAAAGCGUGGGGAGCAAACAGGAUUAGAAACCCCUGUAGUCC